GAUGAACGCUAGCGGCAGGCCUAAUACAUGCAAGGUCGAACGGUGUCUUCGGACAUAGUGGCGCACGGGUGCGUAACACGUAUGCAACCUACCUUACAUUGGGGGAUAGCCUUUCGAAAGGGAGAUUAAUACCGCAUAAGACAGUAAUUUGGCAUCAAAUAGCUGUUAAAGAUUUAUCGAUGUAAGAUGGGCAUGCGACCAAUUAGUUAGUUGGCGAGGUAAUGGCUCACCAAGACUAUGAUUGGUAGGGGAACUGAGAGGUCAAUCCCCCACACUGGCACUGAGAUACGGGCCAGACUCCUACGGGAGGCAGCAGUAGGGAAUAUUGGGCAAUGGACGCAAGUCUGACCCAGCCAUGCCGCGUGCAGGAUGAAGGCGUUAUGCGUUGUAAACUUCUUUUGUACGGGAACAAAAUGCGACCUGCGGGUUGUACUGAGGGUACCGUAAGAAUAAGCACCGGCUAACUCCGUG
rnacentral:rRNA from 1 species